GGCACUGUAGCUCAGCUGGCUAAAGUGUCUGUCUUGUAAACAGAAGAGCCUGGGUUCAAAUUCCAGCAGUGUCU